UGCAUUUUCCAGGGUUGUGAUCUUUGCGUUUCGUCUCCUCAGCUGCAAGAUGAGUCACGGUUCUACUUCCCCUGGAAGGGCAGAAGUUGCAUAAGAUUGUUGAGGCUCAAGCGAGAUAAUGUGUGAGGCUGUUACUCCAGACUAGAGCCUUGAUUUUUAAACUUCAGCGUGCAUCAGAAUCGCCUGGAAGGUUUGUUAGAACCCCGCCCCCAGAGUUUCUCCUUCAGGGGGUCCAGGGUGGGCCUGAGAGUUUCUGAAGUGUUCCCAGGGGUUGCCGAUGCUGCUAGUCCAGGCACUAUAUUUAGGGAACCCCCGUCCUAAAGCCUCACCAAUUGAAUCUCCUAAGAUGAUGAAGAUGGCCUACAUCUGUGCUGUCCUAAACGGUAGCCAACAGCCACACGUGGCUACUGAGAACUCGGAGUGUGGCUAGCACGCCUGAGGACCCGAAUUUAAAAAACAGUUAAUUUUAAUUAACUUAAAUUUAAAUAGCCACGUAUGGUUGGUGGCCAGCGUUUUGGACAGUGUUGUUCUAGAGCUCAUCUGAGUUUGCAGAUGAAGAAACCGAGGCUUUGAGAGGUACCUCCCCUCCCUUGGAGUCUCAUGGCAAUCCUGGGGUGGUGCUCCGGCUGGCUGGCCUUCUUGAACAGGUCCUGUGAUAUGGGAACAUUUGAGUGCUUUGGGGGUGUCUUUGUUGCUUUGAGUUCCAGGUAGCUGAAAGGAGUGGGCUGGAAGGGGACGGGGAGACCCAUUUGCUGGCUCAUGACAAAGAUGAGAGCUGCAGACACAGCGCACAGCGGCAGGAAAAGGCUAAAUGAAAGAGGAUCAUCAGAGCGAAUCACGCUACUGCUCAGAAUGACCAGCUCUUCGGGAUUGAAGAAAGCUUCCUUCAUCCUGUCCUUGGCCUCCGUGGUCAAAGAGCUUCAGGGGCCUUGCUGACCUCCUUCCUCUCCAUUUUGCUGUGCCCUCUCACUGUCCCUGAACUUGAGAUCCUGGAGGUUUAGCUGUGCUCUGGGUCCCUUGAAGACUUCGGAGGCAAUCCACUAAGAAAUGGGGAUUUAAGUGAGACAUGAAGAAGAACUUCCUUAUGGCAAGAACUAUAAGAUGUUGAAGACAAGACACAGUAUUGGGAGUAAAGGCGGUGAGGCACGGAAAUAUAUUUACCAACACCCAGGGAACCGAGUCUUCUCCCCCAGGAUCCCUGCUCUGCUCGUUCAGGGCAGGAAUCCCAGCCAGCACAAGGCCCAGGGCUGCUGAGUGAACUCACUAGCUAGCUAGUCACUGAGCAACAGAGUCUGGAGUCUGGGUCCCCUGAUGCCCAGUCUUGAGCUCUUUCAUGUCCUCCAUUCCUCACUCAGUUGACACGAAGGCACUGGGGCCUGAAGGACACGGAACAGGUGAGGCCAGUCCCCCUGCUUGAACAGCUCUGUGUAGGAAAGGAGAUGACUCCCUCUCCCCUCUCCCCUCUCCCCACGGUCUCCCUCUCCCUCUCUUUCCCCGGUCUCCCUCUGAUGCCGAGCCGAAGCUGGACUGUACUGCUGCCAUCUCGGCUCACUGCAACCUCCCUGCCUGAUUCUCCUGCCUCAGCCUGCCAAGUGCCUGCGAUUGCAGGCGUGCGCCGCCACGCCUGACUGGUUUUCAUAUUUUUUUGGUGGAGACGGGGUUUCGCUGUGUUGGCCGGGCUGGUCUCCAGCUCCUAACCGCGAGUGAUCCGCCAGCCUCGGCCUCCCGAGGUGCCGGGAUUGCAGACGGAGUCUGGUUCACUCAGUGCUCAAUGGUGCCCAGGCUGGAGUGCAGUGGCGUGAUCUCGGCUCGCUACAACCUCCACCUCCCAGCCGCCUGCCUUGGCCUCCCAAAGUGCCGAGAUUGCAGCCUCUGCCCGGCCACCACCCCGUCUGGGAAGUGAGGAGCGUCUCCGCCUGGCCGCCCAUCGUCUGGGAUGUGAGGAGCCUCUCUGUCUGGCUGCCCAGUCUGGGAAGUGAGGAGCGCCUCUGCCCGGCCGCCAUCCCAUCUAGGAAGUGAGGAGCGUCUCUGCCCGGCCGCCCAUCGUCUGAGAUGUGGGGAGCGCCUCUGCCCCACCGCCCCGUCUGGGAUGUGAGGAGCGUCUCUUCCCGGCCGCGACCCCGUCUGGGAAGUGAGGAGCCCCUCCGCCCGGCAGCCGCCCCGUCUGAGAAGUGAGGAGCGUCUCCGCCCGGCCGCCCCUACUGGGAAGUGAGGAGCCCCUCUGCCCGGCCACCACCCAGUCUGGGAGGUGUGCCCAACAGCUCAUUGAGAACGGGCCAGGAUGACAAUGGUGGCUUUGUGGAAUAGAAAGGCGGGAAAGGUGGGGAAAAGAUUGAGAAAUCGGAUGGUUGCCGUGUCUGUGUAGAAAGAAGUAGACAUGGGAGACUUUUCAUUUUGUUCUGCACUAAGAAAAAUUCCUCUGUCUUGGGAUCCUGUUGAUCUGUGACCUUACUCCCAACCCUGUGCUCACUGAAACAUGUGCUGUGUCCACUCAGGGUUAAAUGGAUUAAGGGCGGUGCAAGAUGUGCUUUGUUAAACAGAUGCUUGAAGGCAGCAUGCUCGUUAAAAGUCAUCACCACUCCCUAAUCUCAAGUACCCAGGGACACAAACACUGCGGAAGGCCGCAGGGUCCUCUGCCUAGGAAAACCAGAGACCUUUGUUCACUUGUUUAUCUGCUGACCUUCCCUCCACUAUUGUCCUAUGACCCUGCCAAAUCCCCCUCUGCGAGAAACACCCAAGAAUGAUCAAUAAAAAAUAAAUAAAUAAAUUAAAAAAAAAAAAAAAGAGU